GAUGAAGAACGUAGCUAAAUGCGAUACUUGGUGUGAAUUGCAGAAUCCCGUGAACCAUCGAGUCUUUGAACGCAAGUUGCGCCCGAAGCCACUAGGCCGAGGGCACGCCUGCCUGGGCGUCACACGCCGUUGCCCCCCCAUCUACUCCUUCGGGAUUGCGGGGGGGCGGAUGAUGGCCUCCCGUGCGCCUAGCCGCGCGGUUGGCAUAAAUACCAAGUCCUCGGCGACGCACGCCACGACAAUCGGUGGUUGCGAAACCUCGGUUGCCCGUCGUGUGCGUUCGUCGCGCAUCGAGGGCUCGAAAAAAUGCUCGGCUCCGGCUGGGCUUUCAACGCGACCCCAGGUCAGGCGGGGUUACCCGCUGAAUUUAAGCAUAUCAAUAAGCGGAGGA
rnacentral:misc_RNA from 1 species